rnacentral:rRNA from 1 species
UGGGGGAUAUUGCACAAUGGGCGCAAGCCUGAUGCAGCGACGCCGCGUGUGGGAAGACGGCCCUCGGGUUGUAAACCACUGGCUUUGGGGACGAUAAUGACGGUACCCAAGGAGGAAGCUCCGGCUAACUACGUGCCAGCAGCCGCGGUAAUACGUAGGUGGCAAGCGUUGUCCGGAUUUACUGGGUGUAAAGGGCGUGUAGCCGGGAGGGCAAGUCAGAUGUGAAAUCCACGGGCUUAACUCGUGAACUGCAUUUGAAACUGUUCUUCUUGAGUAUCGGAGAGGCAAUCGGAAUUCCUAGUGUAGCGGUGAAAUGCGUAGAUAUUAGGAGGAACACCAGUGGCGAAGGCGGAUUGCUGGACGACAACUGACGGUGAGGCGCGAAAGCGU